rnacentral:lncRNA from 1 species
UCGGUGAUCCAGAGCGUGUGCAAGAGCGUCAGGUGCGUGGUGGUGCUCAUCUCCGGCAGGCCGCUGGUGGUGGAGCCGUACAUCGGCGCCAUGGACGCGUUCGUCGCCGCGUGGCUGCCCGGCUCCGAGGGCCAGGGCGUCACCGACGUGCUGUUCGGCGACUACGGGUUCUCCGGGAAGCUGGCCAGGACGUGGUUCAAGUCGGUGGACCAGCUGCCGAUGAACGUCGGCGACAAGCACUACGACCCGCUGUUCCCCUUCGGGUUUGGCCUCACCACUGAGGCCAACAAGUGAGUCGGCUGAGAUAACUGAGAUGGGAUGUAUCUCGGUUGGGCUGGAGAGAUGGGACACAUACAUACAUUGCGUUUUGUGGUUGAUUUGUUAGCAAUAAAAGAGCGAUGCGUUCUUACAGAUCCGGUGGUGUUACAGCAAGCCGUCCGAUCGCCAUAAUAAUCGUCGUUAUGACAAUUUUAA